CAGCAGCCACGGUAAUACGGAGGGGGCUAGCGUUGUUCGGAAUUACUGGGCGUAAAGCGUACGUAGGCGGCUUUGUAAGUUAGAGGUGAAAGCCUGGUGCUCAACACCAGAACUGCCUUUAAGACUGCAUCGCUUGAACGUCGGAGAGGUGAGUGGAAUUCCGAGUGUAGAGGUGAAAUUCGUAGAUAUUCGGAAGAACACCAGUGGCGAAGGCGGCUCACUGGACGACUGUUGACGCUGAGGUACGAAAGCGUGGGGAGCAAACAGGAUUAGAUACCCCGGUAGUCCCUGUCUCUUAUAC
rnacentral:rRNA from 1 species